rnacentral:lncRNA from 1 species
AGGGCAUUCUGUGCUCACCCUCAGCCUGGAGCCUGGUGCUGUCACUGACCCUCAGUGUUAGGCAUCUGUCCUGGGCCACCAGGCAUCUGACUCUGCAUCUCCCCGAGGUUUGGAGCCCCCCAUGCUUCAGAGAGCUGCUCAAAGAAUGGCCCGGAGUGCGGAGGCCAGGAUGGGAAGGCGAGCUUGGAAGCAGACGGUGAUGCGCCUGGGGCAGGUGCCCCCCAGACCCUGGAAAGAACAAAGCCCCUUCUCUGGAGGGUGACUCAGAAGAUGCCAUGUGGAUGACAGUGUUUGAUGAGCCAGCGAACUCGACGCCCAUAGCCCCAGGAGUGGUGAGGGACAUGGGUUCCAGCGUGUGGGCAGCUGGCACCUCAGCUCCAGAGGAGAAAGCCUGGGCCAGUUCACCGAAUCCCAGCCUUUCUGCUGCUCCGAAUCAGGGCCCAGGUGCAGCUCUCUGAUGGACACAGAACACAGCCAGGCUGAGGCAGCCAGAGCCAAGGCCUCGAGAAAGCCUGUGAGUAGCAGCAGUGCAGGCGGCACCCAGCAUCCUGCAGAGGCCUAGCCUUGCCCAGUGUAAGGCCUGAGGCCAGCUGGCCCCCCUCCUUGGGGUCAGUGGGAGGAGGUGGCCAGGACCCCGCAUGCUGCUAGGUCUCUGGUGACAUUGAGGUUUGAUACAGCA